rnacentral:rRNA from 1 species
GACGAACCUCCCGAACGUUAUUCGGAAUCACUGGGCUUAAAGGGUGCGUAGGCUGCGUAGUAAGUCGGGUGUGAAAUCCCCCAGCUCAACUGAGGAAUUGCGCCCGAUACUGCUGCGCUGGAGGGAGACAGAGGUAAGCGGAACUGAUGGUGGAGCGGUGAAAUGCGUUGAUAUCAUCAGGAACACCAGUGGCGAAAGCGGCUUACUGGGUCUCUUCUGACGCUGAGGCACGAAAGCUAGGGGAGCAAACGGG